rnacentral:lncRNA from 1 species
CUACCGUUAUAAUCAAAGUGGUUUUCUUUCCAGAGAGUAGUUUUUUGGGUUGUUUUCCCUUUAAUAGUGGUGAAUGUCUGUCCUUAAGAAAUUGUAAUAACAGUGAUGUAAGGUUAAAGUUCCACUAUAUCUUAUGUUGUGAAGGAUAAUCUCAACGCUGAGGAAAAUAUGGUUUAGGGUUAGGCUAUUUACCUGUAGCUGCUGAAUACACUGCCAACUUUCAAACCCAAGGUCCCAUCUCAGCAUUGAAAAACCAUCCAUUGUGAUUGUGCUUUGCUCGAUUGAAAGACAUGCCAUUUCAUGAACCAUGCCAAUAAACCUAUUUGGGUCGCUCCACGAAAAGAGUGCCUUUUGCGUCACUUUGAUAUUUGAAGUAGAAAUUGUGCACCAAUAUUGCAUUUUAAAAGCCUGUUGUGUUAAAUUAAGUGCACUUUAAUAUACACUGAGUGUACAAAACAUUAAGAACACCUUCCUAAUAUUGAGUUGCACCCCCUCUCCCCUUUUGCCAUCAGAACUGCCUCAGUUUGUCGGGGCAUGGACUCCAGAGGGAUGCUGGCCCAUGUUGAUUCCAAUGCUUCCCACAUUUGUGUCAAGUUGGCUGGAUGUCCUUUGGGUGGUGGACCAUUCUUGAUACACACAGAAAACUGUUGAGCGUGAAAAACCCAGCAGAGUUGCAGUUCUUGACACAAACCGGUGCGCCUGGCACCUACUACCAUACCCCGUUUAAAGGCACUUAAAUAUUUUGUCUUACCCAUUCACCCUCUGAAUGGCAAUGAUACACAAUCCAUGUCUCAAUUGUCUCAAGGCUUAAAAAUCAUUAUUUAAUAACAUGUCUCCUCCCCUUCAUCUACACUGAUUGAAGUGGAUUUAACAAGUGACAUCAAUAAGGGAUCAUAUCUUUCACCUGUAUUAAGCUGGUCAGUCUGUCAUGGAAAGCGUUUUGUACACUAAUAUAAUUUUUAAUAUGAAUAAAAGCUUUCUAAAGUGCCCAAAAUCUGCAUUUUGACAUGUCCCGUGUCACUUCAAGGAAGAUUUUAACCCACUUAAUUGCAAAAUCUCUCCAAGUUUCACCAUCAUUGUAAAGCCGUAGUUAUUUUGUUGCUUUGACAAAGUUAUUUCUGGACAUUAUUUAUUUCAUGUGAUAAUGAUUAGUUUACAUCUGUCCCUCAUUUUAAGGUGAAACCAGUUACUUGAACUGAACUCUCGUUUUAAUAUGGUGAAACUAUUCCUUUUUAAAUAUAUAUUUUUUCAAAAUAAAUAUUGAACAUCUAAUGGUCAAAUCAUACAGUAAAAGCAGGUGAGCUGGUUCUACUCUUUUUGGCAAUUUUCUGGUGUUUUGUGGUGGAAAACUGAGUGAGUUGAACAUUAUACGUCAACCUUGUUACUCAUAGAUAGACAGGCUAGAAUUUUUUACUUUUUAAAAAAUGUGUGAAGCUUGCAUUCAAUUGCCACUUUCUGUUGCACACAACAAGCUUCCAUUCCCCCUGUCAAAGGGGGAUUUGUGGAUGAUUUGUUUUUUGUUUUAUUCCGAUUUUUCAGGGUUGCUGCAGCACCCUCAGCAGCCGUAUUUCCCACACUUCAUUUUUUUAUUUAACCUCUUGAGAUGAGAAAACUAGUUUAUGAAGUUGAACAUAUGCUCGUUAUGACAGAAUGUAAAAGUAGGUGGAAUCUAAAGUUUUUUUUACCAAGUUAAUACUUCUCAAAAGGCACCGAAUUGGUGGAACGACCCAUUUAUGGUUAAUUAAACGAUCCAUUGAUGGAUCACUCUCUGGUGAAAUUGUUCACACUUAUGAGUAAAUUAAGUUGCAAACAUUGUAAAUAGCAUAGCCUAAAUGUAAUCCUCAGUCAUGAUUAUGUAUAAGAUUAAUCAGUUUUAUAAAUUGGCACAGCAAAAUACCCUAUGUUUGAGGCCCAUCACUAGUAGGAAAUGAACAACCCUGAAAUCAUGAUCCCAUAAGAAGGGUGUAGUACUGGUGAGUGGCAGCAGCCAUUUUCUGUUUCACUGUUGUAUAUUUGCCUGUGUGUGCAUAUCAGACCAUGCAAGCAUGUAUGUCAUUGUCUGUUACAUGUGGCCUUGGCUUGCAUUAUACCCCAUCCCCACAGUGGUAAAGUGUCAGAGAAUUCAGCAGCUAAUACAUAGUAGAGACAAUGCAACAGAAUAGACUUGAUCUGACACUGCUGGAUUGCACACAUUUGUAUGAGAAGUUUGCUGUACAAAAGGAGUAUCUCUUUACAUUUGCUAUAUUUUGCCUUGUGUGUUUCUCCUCCACGCCUGUCUCCACCCCUUCAUUUGAUCCAUAGCAGUUGGCAAUAAGCCAAUAGUGAUCUAUGCAGUUUCCAACUCAUACUCUGCCCAGAUGCGGACCCUUAAAAAACGUCACUUAAAGGGUCCAAUCUACUAUGAAAUGUUAUUGCAUGUCCCAUAUAGUCAGGGAGCUGGAUAGCCAGUUGCACAUAAAAUUUUAUCAAUGUCUACCUUUUUGAACAAAUUAUUUUCCUCAGUCUUGAUCAAUUCAGAAUUAUUUUAGACAUGCAUAAGAAACACAGCAUAACUUAUUUAAUAUCCAUUUGAACACAUGUCAGGUUACAGAACAGCAAUAAUACCAUUACACUAUUCUAACAAGACUUUAGCAGUCUUUUUUUUCAUAGCUUCAUUACAAAUGACAUGCACACUUUAGCACUUGAUAGGAUAUCAGGGAAUUUUUCUAGCUUCACUCUUUAUAUGCACGGUUAGAAAAUAGCCUUAUCCCAAAGAAUUACUCAUGUUAUAAAUCAAGAAAAGCCUCACAUAGCUCCAAACUAACGCCACUACAGCUAAAGAAGCUGACAAACAUUACAGAACAUAAGAGACUGGUUAGUCUUUCCCACUCUGCCCUCCCCUGAAAUAAGAUUCACACAAGGAAUGUAUAGAGAACGUAAAGUGAUACACUUGCUCUUUUGGGCUAUGUGCUGUGUAAAAACCUGCACAACUAUUGAAUGUGAAAGAACAGGAUUAUAGGAGACAACAGAACUUUGUUGCAAGAACUUUCUUCACUUUGCUGUGCAAGAGUACACUGCUUUGCUGUAUGGCUUUUAUAAACAGAACUAUGUAUUUGGUAAUUGUUUGUAGUUAAUAGUUCACUUCAAGAAGCUGUUUGCGGUUUGGAUGCUCAAACCGUUUGGCGGCACAAGCUGGACUUUGUUGCCAUGAAUGAAACAAAAUCAAGAGAGAAUUUUAAGUUAAUCUGCAUUUUAUUUCCCUUGAAUGAUAAAGAUACCAUGCUAGAGAUUGUUGUAAAAAUGUGUGUUCUACAUUCACUAAAGUAAAACUAUUGGCUUCUACUGUCUAUUUUAGGUUCUCUCACUUAUUCUGUAAAUUAAGUGAACAACUUUCUUACCUAGAUUUUGUCCACCUGUGAUGUCCCAAACAAUAGAGACUGUCAGCUUUAUUAAACAC